GCCUCACUAAGGUGAAACCGCGAAUGGCUCAUUAAAUCACACCUAAUCUACUGGAUUGUUAAACAGUUACUUGGAUAACUGAGGUAAUUCUUGAGCUAAUACAUGCGAAAAACCCCGACUUUACGAAGGGGUGCUUUUAUUAGAUCAAAACCAAACAUCGUAAGAUGUAAAUUUGGUGACUCUGGAUAACUUUGGCUGAUCGCAUUGCCUUGUGCAGGCGACAUUUCCUUCGAAGGUGUGCCCUAUCAACUGUCGACUGUGAUAUAGACGCUCACAGUGGUUUUGACGGGUAACGGGGAAUCAGGGUUCGAUUCCGGAGAGGGAGCCUUAAAAACGGCUACCACAUCCAAGGAAGGCAGCAGGCACGCAAAUUACCCAAUGAACGCAGUUCGAGGUAGUGACGAAAAAUAACAAUACCAGACUCUUCCGAGGCCUGGUAAUUGGAAUGAGUACACUUUAAAACCGUUCCCGAGGAUCCAUUGGAGGGCAA
rnacentral:rRNA from 1 species